UACGUAGGUGGCAAGCGUUGUCCGGAUUUACUGGGCGUAAAGAGCGCGCAGGCGGUCGACCAAGUCGCGUGUGAAAGCCCCCGGCUCAACUGGGGAGGGUCACGCGAUACUGAUCGACUCGAAGGCAGGAGAGGGUAGUGGAAUUCCCGGUGUAGUGGUGAAAUGCGUAGAUAUCCGGAGGAACACCAGUGGCGAAGGCGACACGCUGGGUCAUACCUGACGCUAAAACGCGACAGCAUGGGGAGCGAACGGG
rnacentral:rRNA from 1 species